UCUCGAGCGGAGACAGCCUGGGUCGUCCCGCGGGUCAAUGGCCACGCCUCCUCUCGGCCGGGAGGACGGCGUGGGGCGUGGUUUGGGCAGGACUCUGCGGUAACGGGCGUCGGGCUCGACCAACGAAUGCACAGGCAUACCUCAGAAAUAUUGCAAGUUUGGUUCUAGACUAUGGCGAUAAAUCAUCACAGCAUCUUUACCAGGAGUAGAUCUCAAGAAACCACUUUCUUUGCUCAUCCACAAAAGAAACUCCUCAUAUGUUAAGUUUUAUCAUGAGAUUGCUGCAGUUCUGUCACAUCCUCAAGCUACACUUCUAGUUUUUCGAGAAUUACCAAAAUGUGACACAGAAACACGAAGUAAGCAAAUGCUACUGGAAAAAUGGUACCAUAAGACUUGUUUGAUACGGUUUUGCCAUAAACCUUCAACUUGUAAAAAAUGCAGUUAUCUGUGAAGCUCUAUAAAGUGAGGUGAAAUUAAACAAGGUAUGUCUGUAUAUGAAAGCUGAUUUUUGUAUGUUAAUUUUAAAUCCUGCUCCUUCACUGAAUCUUUUCACUGUCUGAGUUAGUUUUAUUACUGAUUUUCUGGGGUUCAGGUAUACUAUGAUCUGCAAAUAGUUACUGUUUCACUUCUUCAUUACUCAUUCUUAUGCCUCUUAUUGAUAUCUCUUAUCUAAUUGCCUUGGCUAAUUUACCUCUGAUACACUGCUGAACAGUAGGGGAGACAGUGGGGUUGCUGCCUUGUUCCUCAUCUUAAUGGAUAUGCCUGUAGUGUUUCCUCAUUUAAAUAUGAUACUAGUUUUAACACUAAGAUAUAUACUUUAUCAAGAUAAAAAAUAUUCAAUUACUAUUUUCUUGAGUGUCUUUUUCA